rnacentral:rRNA from 1 species
GAUUUCACACUGUCGAGAAAAGUCUCUAUCGAGGUUAAAGGUGCCUGUACCGCAAACCGACACAGGUGGGUGAGGAGAGUAUCCUAAGGCCAGCGAGAGAACUGUUGUUAAGGAACUCGGCAAAAUGACCCCGUAACUUAGGGAGAAGGGGUGCCUUCGAAAGAAGGCCGCAGAGAAUAGGCCCAAGCGACUGUUUACCAAAAACAUAGGUUUCUGCUAAGUCGCAAGACGAUGUAUAGGAGCUGACGCCUGCCCGGUGCUGGAAGGUUAAGGGGAUCUGUUAGAGUAAUCGAAGCAGUGAACUUAAGCCCCAGUAAACGGCGGCCGUAACUAUAACGGUCCUAAGGUAGCGAAAUUCCUUGUCGGGUAAGUUCCGACCCGCACGAAAGGCGUAACUAUUUGGGCACUGUCUCAACAACAGACUCGGUGAAAUUGUAAUACCGGUGAAGAUGCCGGUUACCUGCGACAGGACGGAAAGACCCCAUGGAGCUUUACUGUAGCUUGACAUUGAGUCUCGGUGCUACAUGUACAGGAUAGGUGGGAGACUAUGAAGCAUGGACGUCAGUCUGUGUGGAGUCAUCCUUGGGAUACCACCCUUGUAGUACUGGGAUUCUAACCAGAGGCCAUGAAUCUGGUCUUGGGACACUGUCAGGUGGACAGUUUGACUGGGGCGGUCGCCUCCCAAAAAGUAACGGAGGCGCUCAAAGGUUCUCUCAGUACGGUCGAAAUCGUACGAAGAGUGUAAAGGCAAAAGAGAGCUUGAUUGCAAGACAUACAGGUCGAGCAAGGACGAAAGUCGGACUUAGUGAUCCGGUGGUUCCGCAUGGAAGGGCCAUCGCUCAACGGAUAAAAGCUACCCUGGGGAUAACAGGCUGAUCUCCCCCAAGAGUCCACAUCGACGGGGAGGUUUGGCACCUCGAUGUCGGCUCAUCACAUCCUGGGGCUGUAGUAGGUCCCAAGGGUUGGGCUGUUCGCCCAUUAAAGUGGUACGCGAGCUGGGUUCAGAACGUCGUGAGACAGUUCGGUCCCUAUCCGUCGCAGGCGUAGGAAAUUUGAGGAGACCUGUCCUUAGUACGAGAGGACCGGGAUGGACGUACCGCUGGUGUACCAGUUGUUCUGCCAAGGGCAUGGCUGGGUAGCUAAGUACGGAAAGGAUAAGCGCCGAAAGCAUCUAAGCGCGAAGCCCACUUCAAGAUAAGAUUUCCCACCGCAAGGUUAAGAUCCCAGGAAGACUACCUGGUUGAUAGGUCAGAGGUGUAAGUGCAGUAAUGUAUUUAGCUUACUGAUACUAAUAGAUCGAGGACUUGAC